rnacentral:rRNA from 2 species
GAUUUCUGACAUUAAUGCGUUUGGCCCGCUACGGUUACGUAUGUGAGUGCCGAAUCGUGUUUGUCAUCCUUCUAGAAAAUGUUAGAGUAGCUCUUUAUUGAGUUACACUAUACACAAUCUAGAUCUUUUACUUUGAAAAAAUUAGAGUGUUUAAAGCAGGCAUAUUUGCUAUGAAUACAUUAGCAUGGAAUAAUAAUUUAGGACUUUGGUUCUAUUUUGUUGGUUUCUAGAACUGAAGUAAUGAUUGAUAGGGAUAGUUGGGGGUGCUCGUAUUCAGUGGCCAGAGGUGAAAUUCUCGGAUUCACUGAAGACGAACUUAUGCGAAAGCAUU